GAAUCACAGCUUCAGGAUGUUGACAGUGUGACGUUUGUUUUGAUGCAGCAGCAGCAGCACGAGUGUACAGUUUUAAACACAUAAACUGAAGAUGACAGCUCAGUGACAGUGUUUUAGUGUUAAUAAACAACAUUUAAUGCAGUCCGACAACUAAAAGAACCACAACACGCUGAGAUAAAGGACAGAAAUGCAGUGAAAAGCGACUCACCUAGAUUGAGGGAUGUGUUUGGACCGUACAGUCAACAGAAGCAGAGCUCCGGGACGUUUGGACUACGUUUACUGGCGUGAUGGACGUCUUCUGCGGACAGAUGAAAAAAGCUGCAUGCGUAGGAUAUACUAGUGAGUUUUACUUCUUAAAACCGGUGAAGAGAAGCUGUGGAUAUGGGAUUCAAAACCAAAGUUUUCUGAUGUUAAGAGAUUGAGGGAUGUGUUUGGACCGUACAGUCAACAGAAGCAGAGCUCCAGGACGUUUGGACUACGUUUUCUGGCGUGAUGGACGUCUUCUGCGGACAGGCAAACGCUCAUCCACUGCACCCUUGAGCAUGACGUUGUGUUUGGUCCUGCUUUUGAAUGAAGAAUAGCUGUGGAAAUGGGAUUCAAAACCAAAGGUUACUGAUGUGAAGACAUUCCCGGGACAGGGGCCAUCAAAGGAGACCCAACCCAGCAGCGGAGUCACGCUGUGCUGAAGACGGCUGGUGUGGAUCUGCUGGCUCUACAGUAGCAUUUAGAGAUUAUCUACAAGCUAUCAGAGAAGAGAAAGAUAAACUGCUCUUCUGCAGGUCACAGGUCAUUUCUAAAUACAUACACUCUCAUGUUUCGUUGUAGAGAUUAAGUGGCUGUUCUUGGUAAACUUUCCUAUAGUGUAAAGUUUUGGUACGGUCACUUGCAAACAUCACAAUUGAAAUGGCAAAAUUGUCAGCAAUAAUCUUUGGUUCAUUACAUAACUCCAGGUACUUUUACAUAAACAGCUGAGGGCAAAAUUACUGAUGCAAUAUUUAUUUGUUUAAUCCUGUGCAAUAUUUAUUAUUUUUCAAAUAUUUCUCAAGUGAUAUUUAAUGAAUU